CAAGAGCUCAAAUUUGAAAUCUGGCCCCUCCGGGGUCCGAGUUGUAAUUUGCAGAGGAUGCUUCGGGCGCGGUCCCCGUCUAAGUACCCUGGAACGGGUCGUCAUAGAGGGUGAGAAUCCCGUCUGGGACGGGUGGCCGUGUCCGUGUGAAGCUCCUUCGACGAGUCGAGUUGUUUGGGAAUGCAGCUCUAAAUGGGUGGUAAAUUUCAUCUAAAGCUAAAUAUUGGCCGGAGACCGAUAGCGCACAAGUAGAGUGAUCGAAAGAUGAAAAGCACUUUGAAAAGAGAGUUAAACAGCACGUGAAAUUGUUGAAAGGGAAGCGCUUGCGACCAGACUCGCCCGCGGGGGUUCAGCCGGUACUCGUACCGGUGUACUCCCCCGGGGGCGGGCCAGCGUCGGUUUGGGCGGUCGGUCAAAGGCCUCCGGAAUGUGUCGCCCCCCGGGGCGUCUUAUAGCCGGAGGUGCAAUGCGGCCAGCCUGGACCGAGGAACGCGCUUCGGC
rnacentral:rRNA from 1 species